GGUGUCGCUGAUGGAUGGACCCGCGGUGCAUUAGCUAGUUGGUGAGGUAACGGCUCACCAAGGCCACGAUGCAUAGCCGACCUGAGAGGGUGAUCGGCCACAUUGGGACUGAGACACGGCCCAAACUCCUACGGGAGGCAGCAGUAGGGAAUCUUCGGCAAUGGACGAAAGUCUGACCGAGCAACGCCGCGUGAGUGAAGAAGGUUUUCGGAUCGUAAAACUCUGUUGUUAGAGAAGAACAAGGAUGAGAGUAACUGUUCAUCCCUUGACGGUAUCUAACCAGAAAGCCACGGCUAACUACGUGCCAGCAGCCGCGGUAAUACGUAGGUGGCAAGCGUUGUCCGGAUUUAUUGGGCGUAAAGCGAGCGCAGGCGGUUUCUUAAGUCUGAUGUGAAAGCCCCCGGCUCAACCGGGGAGGGUCAUUGGAAACUGGGAGACUUGAGUGCAGAAGAGGAGAGUGGAAUUCCAUGUGUAGCGGUGAAAUGCGUAGAUAUAUGGAGGAACACCAGUGGCGAAGGCGGCUCUCUGGUCUGUAACUGACGCUGAGGCUCGAAAGCGUGGGGAGCAAACAGGAUUAGAUACCCUGGUAGUCCACGCCGUAAACGAUGAGUGCUAAGUGUUGGAGGGUUUCCGCCCUUCAGUGCUGCAGCUAACGCAUUAAGCACUCCGCCUGGGGAGUACGACCGCAAGGUUGAAACUCAAAGGAAUUGACGGGGGCCCGCACAAGCGGUGGAGCAUGUGGUUUAAUUCGAAGCAACGCGAAGAACCUUACCAGGUCUUGACAUCCUUUGACCACUCUAGAGAUAGAGCUUCCCCUUCGGGGGCAAAGUGACAGGUGGUGCAUGGUUGUCGUCAGCUCGUGUCGUGAGAUGUUGGGUUAAGUCCCGCAACGAGCGCAACCCUUAUUGUUAGUUGCCAUCAUUCAGUUGGGCACUCUAGCAAGACUGCCGGUGACAAACCGGAGGAAGGUGGGGAUGACGUCAAAUCAUCAUGCCCCUUAUGACCUGGGCUACACACGUGCUACAAUGGGAAGUACAACGAGUUGCGAAGUCGCGAGGCUAAGCUAAUCUCUUAAAGCUUCUCUCAGUUCGGAUUGCAGGCUGCAACUCGCCUGCAUGAAGCCGGAAUCGCUAGUAAUCGCGGAUCAGCACGCCGCGGUGAAUACGUUCCCGGGCCUUGUACACACCGCCCGUCACACCACGAGAGUUUGUAACACCCGAAGUCGGUGAGGUAACCUUUUUGGAGCCAGCCGCCUAAGGUGGGAUAGAUGAUUGGGGUGAAGUCGUAACAAGGUAGCCGUAUCGGAAGGUGCGGCUGGGUCACCU
rnacentral:rRNA from 1 species